GAUGAACGCUGGCUACAGGCUUAACACAUGCAAGUCGAGGGGAAACGACGGGGAAGCUUGCUUCCCCGGGCGUCGACCGGCGCACGGGUGAGUAACGCGUAUCCAACCUGCCUCUGACUGAGGGAUAACCCGUCGAAAGUCGGCCUAAUACCUCAUGGCAUCGUCUGCGGGCAUCCAACGACGAUUAAAGAUUUCAUCGGUCAGGGAUGGGGAUGCGUCUGAUUAGCUUGUUGGCGGGGUAACGGCCCACCAAGGCUACGAUCAGUAGGGGUUCUGAGAGGAAGGUCCCCCACAUUGGAACUGAGACACGGUCCAAACUCCUACGGGAGGCAGCAGUGAGGAAUAUUGGUCAAUGGGCGGGAGCCUGAACCAGCCAAGUAGCGUGCAGGAGGACGGCCCUAUGGGUUGUAAACUGCUUUUAUGCGGGGAUAAAGUGGGGGACGUGUCCUUCAUUGCAGGUACCGCAUGAAUAAGGACCGGCUAAUUCCGUG
rnacentral:rRNA from 1 species